rnacentral:rRNA from 1 species
UACGGGGGGUGCGAGCGUUGUCCGGAAUCACUGGGCGUAAAGGGUGCGUAGGCGGGUCUUUAAGUCAGGGGUGAAAUCCUGGAGCUCAACUCCAGAACUGCCCUUGAUACUGAGGAUCUUGAGUUCGGGAGAGGUGAGUGGAACUGCGAGUGUAGAGGUGAAAUUCGUAGAUAUUCGCAAGAACACCAGUGGCGAAGGCGGCUCACUGGCCCGAUACUGACGCUGAGGCACGAAAGCGUGGGGAGCAAACAGGG